UACAGAGGUCCCAAGCGUUGUUCGGAUUCACUGGGCGUAAAGGGUGCGUAGGCGGUUGGGUAAGUCUGUCGUGAAAUCUCCGAGCCUAACUCGGAAACUGCGUCGGAUACUAUUCAACUCGAGGAAUGGAGGGGAGACUGGAAUUCUCGGUGUAGCAGUGAAAUGCGUAGAUAUCGUGAGGAACACCAGAGGCGAAGGCGGUUACCUGGACAGUUACUGACGCUCAGGCACGAAAGCAUGGGGAGCAAAAGGG
rnacentral:rRNA from 1 species